rnacentral:rRNA from 1 species
UACAGAGGGGGCAAGCGUUGUCCGGAUUCAUUGGGCGUAAAGAGCUCGUAGGCGGCUGUUCAAGUCGAACGUGAAAACUCGGAGCUCAACUCCGAGCCUGCGUUCGAUACUGGACGGCUAGAGUCUGGUAGGGGGAUCUGGAAUUCCUGGUGUAGCGGUGGAAUGCGCAGAUAUCAGGAGGAACACCGGUGGCGAAGGCGGGUCUCUGGGCCGAUACUGACGCUGAGGAGCGAAAGCGUGGGGAGCGAACAGG